rnacentral:lncRNA from 1 species
AAACCAUAUAAUCUAGAAAACACACAAUUAAUUAUAACUUAUAAAAACAAAAAGAUCACAAUAAAAAGAGCAAUAUGAAAAUUUAUAUACUUGCGAAAAUAAUAGUAGAAAAUUACUAUAAUAGAUACUAUACUCCAAUGAUAGAUACAGGAGCAGAAGCAAAUAUGUGUAAACAUAAUUGUCUACCAGAUGAAAAAUG